rnacentral:ncRNA from 1 species
AUUCUCGGGGCGGGGUGAGAUUCCCCACCGGUGGUUAAAGUCCACGACUCGCAAAAAGUUCUUUUGCGACUGAUGCGGUGAAACUCCGCAACCGACGGUUAAAGUCCGGAUGAUAGAGAAU